rnacentral:rRNA from 1 species
CCUACGGGAGGCAGCAGUAGGGAAUCUUCCACAAUGGACGAAAGUCUGAUGGAGCAACGCCGCGUGAGUGAAGAAGGGUUUCGGCUCGUAAAGCUCUGUUGGUAGUGAAGAAAGAUAGAGGUAGUAACUGGCCUUUAUUUGACGGUAAUUACUUAGAAAGUCACGGCUAACUACGUGCCAGCAGCCGCGGUAAUACGUAGGUGGCAAGCGUUGUCCGGAUUUAUUGGGCGUAAAGCGAGUGCAGGCGGUUCAAUAAGUCUGAUGUGAAAGCCGUCGGCUCAACCGGAGAAUUGCAUCAGAAACUGUUGAACUGGAGUGCAGAAGAGGAGAGUGGAACUCCAUGUGGAGCGGUGGAAUGCGUAGAUAUAUGGAAGAACACCAGUGGCGAAGGCGGCUCUCUGGUCUGCAACUGACGCUGAGGCUCGAAAGCAUGGGUAGCGAACAGGAUUAGAUACCCCAGUAGUC